rnacentral:tRNA from 1 species
CCUUCGAUAGCUCAGUUGGUAGAGCGGUGGACUGUAGUGGUCAAUAAACAAAUUCAGAUAUCCAUAGGUCGCUGGUUCAAAUCCGGCUCGAAGGA